rnacentral:rRNA from 1 species
GUCUACAGCCUUACCACCUUGAACACACCCAAUAUCGUCUGGUCUCAGAAGCUAAGUAGGGUCGGGCCUGGUUAGUACUUGGAUGGGAGAAAUAGCAGGCAGUUAAGGAAU